CCCUGUUUCUCUAGUAAGAGACAGGUUAACCAGAACCAAGUGGAAUAUGGGUAAGCAAAGGAGGAAAAUGUCCCUUGGGAAGAAGGAAGUAAAGACUACAUGUAUGAAUCAACUAGGAUGCAAGACGCUGAACUAACGUGAAGACUGGAGAGGAGGUCAGGUCCAGCUGAUCAUGCUUGUUCGUAUUAUGCUCCAGAACAAGCCCUGUCCAGGGCCUCCCCGUGGCAGGCUCACCGCCAGGGCUCCGUGUUUAAAUGUUGUGCCCCACACUCACAGCUAAGAGAUCU